UGCAAGUCGAACGUGAAAGUAGCAAUAUGAGUAAAGUGGCGUACGGGUGAGUAACACGUGGGUAAUCUACCUUAGAAUCUGGAAUAACGUGCCGAAAGGCGCGCUAAUACUGGAUAGUUCAAAUGUGCCGUUGAGGUACGAUUGGGAAAGGGAGCUCGCAAGAGCCUUCGUUCUAAGAUGAGCCCGCGUCUGAUUAGCUAGUUGGUGAGGUAAUGGCUCACCAAGGCGACGAUCAGUAGCUGAUCUGAGAGGAUGAUCAGCCACACUGGAACUGAAACACGGUCCAGACUCCUACGGGAGGCAGCAGUGGGGAAUCUUGCGCAAUGGACGAAAGUCUGACGCAGCCACGCCGCGUGAGUGAAGAAGGCCUUCGGGUUGUAAAGCUCUGUCGGAAGGGACAAAAACGUUUAGGGUUAAUAGCCCUAGAUCUUGAUGGUACCUUUAAAGGAAGCACCGGCUAACUUCGUGCCAGCAGCCGCGGUAAUACGAAGGGUGCAAGCGUUGCUCGGAAUUAUUGGGCGUAAAGGGUAGGUAGGUGGUUACGUAUGUCUGAGGUGAAAUCCCUGAGCUUAACUCAGGAAGUGCCUUGGAAACGGCGUAACUAGAGUGCUAGAGAGGUUCGUGGAAUUCCCAGUGUAGCGGUGAAAUGCGUAGAGAUUGGGAGGAACACCAGAGGCGAAGGCGGCGAACUGGAUAGCAA
rnacentral:rRNA from 1 species